rnacentral:rRNA from 1 species
UACGGAGGGGGCGAGCGUUAUUCGGAAUUAUUGGGCGUAAAGGGCGCGUAGGCGGCCCGCUAAGUCAAAGGUGAAGUCCCUCGGCUCAACUGAGGAACUGCCUUUGAGACUGUCGGGCUUGAGGCCGGGAGGGGGUAGCGGAAUUCCCAGUGUAGCGGUGAAAUGCGUAGAUAUUGGGAGGAACACCAGUGGCGAAGGCGGCUACCUGGACCGGUUCUGACGCUGAUGCGCGAAAGCCAGGGGAGCAAACGGG